CUGUCAGCCAAUCACAGGACUGCAGACAUACUCCUCACCUCCUGCUGAAGAGGAAGAGCUGAGAAAACCUUUCUACUGAUACAGUUUGUACACAGUCGUCAUGGCAUGGUACGGAUGUGGCGUUGUGUGUUUUCAUCUCUUCAACAUCAUCUGUGCUGUGGCGAGCUUUCCCUUUUUUGGUCUCGUCGUGUGGCUCAUUUACAACAUUCGUACCAGUUGCGUCUUUGAAAUAGCCAGCCUCCCAUCAUGGGUAAUCAUUUUGGUUGGGACUGUUUCGAUCCUGCUGGGUUUGACACUGUUGAUCAUGGCGCUGAUUGGAUUAUGUGACAUCUGCUCUAAGAACAGAUGGGGUCUGGAGACGGUAAGAUGUGUCCCACAAUGGUUAGAGUGACACUUCAACUGAAGUGCAAAUUGAAUAAAUCUUUGAAGGUUGAUUUGAUGUGCAAGUGUUUGACUUACUGGUCAAGAUCAAACUUAUAUCACUGAUCCAGGUGCAGUGUUAUGAUGGUUCCAUGAUCCUGUGCGUUCAUCAGAUUAAAGAGUUGUUUCAUCAACAUGUUGUAAACUUGAUCUUCUCUCUCCCCUGUCAGUUCUAUGUUCUUCCAGUACUUAUUAUUUUGGCUGGAGAGUUCCUCCUCGGUUUCAUAAUUAUGGUCCACGCUGGGGUGAGUGAAGAGUCACAACGGUGUUUUUGCACCGUCCAUUUUAUAAUAUUUCUGAGAUUUCUUCAGCGUAUCACUACAGGGAGCAUGCGUACCACUGCUAGU